CCCCUCUCAGGAUGGCACCUGGAGAGUUUCUAGUACUCUACCGUUCUUGGCUAAGGGAGGAAGAGUCAGGCAGAGUCAUACUCAUUACAUUCCUAGCUUGGGCAGUGGCUGGAGAGUGGAAGGCAAUCUGCUACAAGC